GUUACCCCCGAGAUAUAAAAUCUGAAGAAACUUUAACUCGCCAAUUUCUUUUGGUAUCUGCCCACUAAAUGAGUUGUAGGAUAGGGAUACAACCCGAAGUUGUAAACAUUUGGAUAGAUUUGAUGGAAUUUCGCCACUCAAUUUAUUUUCCGAUAGGUAAAUUCCUUGAACAAGUGGAAGAUGAGUGCACAAGUCACUUGGAAGGCUACCACUCAAUUCGUUUCCUGUGAAAGACAUAUAUUUUAAGGCUGACAGUUUAUAUAUGGAUGACGGUAUAGGGCCCGAGAGAUGAUUGUAUAUCAUGGAUAUAGUCUGCAGAUUGUGAAGCCUCCCCAACUCUUGUGGAAUAAAUCCUUGAAGAGAAUUGUAAUAAAAAACAAGAAGUUGUAGAUUUGUUAGAUUAGAGAGAGAACUCGGGAUGGAACCGGUAAAGCUGUUAUUCCCUAGAGACAGAAACUCGAGUUUAGUUAAAAGACCCAACCACGGUGGAAUCUCUCCACUCAAGGUGUUUGCUCUGAAAGACAUAAACUUCAAUCUGUGUAGAAAAGACAAUUGUUGAGGAAGAACACCACUGAGAAGGUUGAACUUAAAAUCGAGUGAAACGAGGAAGGAAAGGUUUCCUAGUUGUGGUGGAAUUGUGCCUGAAAGACCCAUGUAAGAAAUAUUCACUGCAGUUACUCGAUUAUGGCGUAAACCGCAAGUGACGCCAAUCCAGCUACAGACAGAGCUCGAAUUAGUCCAAUUUUGGGAAAGUAUGCUAGCAGGAUCAAAAGUGAUAUGAGAUUUAAGGGCAAGAAGAGCUGAUUUAUCGGUUUCGAGGGUGGUUGAAUAUUUGAUGGCUAGGCAAUAAUAAGACAUUUGGAGUAGGAGUAUGACUAUACAUGCAAGAAUGCAACAAGAAGUUUUCCCCAUCAUUAUAUUACUUACUGGAAUAUUAUUUUGGUGAUCGAACUCCUCAUAACCAUCGGUGAUUCUUAUACUGAAAUUCAUUUAAUAUAUACAAACAAUUUUCAUAGACUUGACCUUAAAGACUUUAUCAAUCAAUGCUGAAGCCACCUCCAACGUGUGUAAUUGUUGGUAAUGUAUAUUGUUUCAUGAUAACAAUGUAAGACUAAAGAAUCAUGGAAAAACUUUGUAUGAAUUAUAUCUUAUCUUUUUUUGCUUAUUAUUUAUUAUGCAGACAAGUCGGUCAAUAUGCUUUUUGGGCGUGGCAAAUAAACUACAAUAGUUGGAGAGGAGAAUAUUGAAUAUAUCAUUAGAAUAUGAAUUGUAGUUUGAAUAAGUAAGUGUAAAGGGGCUUUAAGUAAAAGUUAAUUAUAGUGCAGAGAGAUUUGUUUUGUUUUGGUUUUGUGUUUUUCAAAUUCAAUCCACUACUCAUAGUUUUAUGAACUCUGCAGCCUAAAAAAAAAAAAAAAAAAAAGAAAAGAAAAGAAAAACGAUAGAAUGGACUUUUCGGAAAUUACAAUUUAACCCCAGAUUUAUGGUUUCUGUAAUUUCAAAUUUGGCCCCGUAGUUUUGUUUAUUGCUGAAUCAGGCGAGGUUAAUUUGAAAUAAUUUAAAAUCAGAUUUAGUUCCCACAAUGAUUCUGAAUACUUCAUUGCAGUCCCCAAUUUUAAAGUGUCUCUCAAAACUGUGAUAUACAUUCAGAAAAUACAUUUCAACCCCCUUUUGCAGAAAGUAUUUCUGAAUCUCGGGUCCGUUUUCAAUCAAAGACUUUUCUUUCAGAAAUUUCAAUCCAGUCCAUCAUGUUUUAAGAUUUUCUUUUUUGGAUUUGGGUGCAGUGGUUUAUUUCUUUAAAGAACGAAGACUUGACUUUUUAAGCUUUUUGUAAAGAUUUUGUGGCAUUUAAAGUUUCAAUUGUUUUGAUGGACUGAACUAAUAGGUGAAUUAUUUUUAGUUCAAUUUAAGGUUUGUUUGAUUAAUAAAGUGAAAUUCAAUUUUAAUUACCAAUUGGUUAUCUAGAAACCAGCAUCAUAUCGCAUAACAAAAACUUAUUCAAAUUGAAAUAUAUACUACCAAACAAACGAAGCAUCAAGUGCUUAACAUCCAAAAUUAUUCUUUCCUACAUUAUUACACUGUUUAUUGUAGAUAAAUCCUUAAUUAACAUUGUAGGAGCUGUAUCAGGACAUAAUUAACAGCAUCAGUGGUACUUGGGCAGAAUCUUGUGUUUCAGAUCGAACCUCGGCGGGAAUAUCGAACUUUGAUCUUCUGCAAAUCUGUUAGAGCUUCUUUCAUGUUUAUUCUAUCACCAGAACAUUCCGUACAACACCUCAAAGCCAACUCCAGUACUGAUGACACACAUUGCACGUUUUUCUCAAAGCCUUGUUCGUUUUCCGUAUUCAAUAAAUUGGCAUCUAUAACCUCAGUUGAUGACUCAUUAUUAAGUGAGCUUUGAACCCAAUUCUUUAAGGUUAAAUCCCCGCCGAACUGUUAGAGUAUAUUAUUAUAUUAGAUAUUAUCCUAAUAUUAGGAUUCUAGUAUGAUUCACUUACCUAGAUUAGUUAGGAUUUAGUUACCUAGUCAAACUCUAUUACCUUGCAAUAUUUCUCUAUAUAUAUUCCAUGUAAUCAACCCAUAACAUAAUGGGGGUUUCUAUUCUACGUAUUAUUAUUUCUCUCUUUCUCCUAUUCUAUUCUUCCUAUACGAACAUUUCAUCGCUUGGCCUUUUUCUCGUAAAGGUUUCCAACACCAUCACUCCAUAGCUAUAAACAUCACACCUUGUAGAAACUAGCCCUUCCACACCAUACUCUGUACAACAACAAUCGUAUAAUGCAACAAAUCAAAAGUGAAAUCCAAAUCGAAAAUAUAAAAAGUAGUAUGAGUGAAAAUGAGAAUAUUAAUUAACCUGGUGCAAUGUAACCCAUUGUUGCUAGGGCGUUGGUGUGCAUAGUGCUCUCACCUUCGCCCAUCAACUUUGCUAUCCCGAAAUCACUCACAUGGGCAACCAUUUCUUCAUCUAACAACACGUUGCUUGGCUUCAAAUCGCAAUGAACAAUGAGAGUCGAAUAGCCAUGGUGAAGAUAUUCCAAUGCUCAUGCAACAUCGAUCAUUAUGUUCAAUCUUUGCAUGAGAUCCAAGCAGUAGUUGUGUGAAUUUAACCAUUUGUCGAGGUUUCCAUUCGGCAUGUAUUCAAGUACCAAUGCCUUGAAAUCCUCAUUAGAGCAACUGCUCACGACUUUGGUGAGAUUUCUGUGGGGAUGUUUCGUAGUACCUCGCAUUCGACUUCGAAGCUCUUAGAAGAAGCUUCCGAUAGCGAAUUGAAGACCUUGACAGCCACAAUCUUGCCAUCUCUUAGAACGGCUUUGUACACAGAACCAAAACUCCAUACACCGAGUAAAUUCGUUUCACUGAAAUUUUGAGUUGCUUGUAGGAGUUCGUAAUACGAAAUUCUUUCUAGAGGUACAGUGGGAACCAGCUCGUCAGUUCCAUUGACUGCCUUAUUUUUUCUUCUGUAUCUUACGAAAAUGAAGACCAAAGAGAUAAGCGAGAUAAAUGCAACAACUCCAACAAGAAUAGAUAAAGGUAAGCGUGCCCUUUCCAUCCUCGACCUUGACAUGUGUUUCGAAACAUUAUGAUAGCAAAGUGAAAGAUUGAACCUUGGAAUUCCGCAUCCGUAGUGAAGUUUUCGAAAGGACCACCAGUUGGAAUUUCUCCUCUUGGAGCAUUGAAAGAAACAUUAAAAUAGUCGAGGUGUUGAAGUGCCUCCAACGACUUUGGGAUUGAACCAGAUAGGUUAUUGUAAGAUAAAUCCAUACUUACCAAACUGAUCAUUAUUCCCACCGUCUUAGGAAUAGAACCUUCCAGUAGAUUUUGUGCCAAAGACAGAUACUCAAAGAUUUUAAAUUUUCGAUUGUGCCUGGAAUAGACCCCGACAAGUGGUUAGUUGAUAGAUCGAUGGAGGUUGUUGACAAUAAAUUAUGUAUUUCCGAAGGUAUAGGUCCACUCAAGGAAUUCGAGGAUAAGUUUAGCAUCAAUAGAUCUUCGAGGCGCCACAUGCUCGAUGGUAUGCUUGAAGACAACAUGUUGGAAUCUAGAUAGAGAUUUCUUAAAGAUGUGAUAUUUCUUAAACAUUCCGGUAUUCGACCAAAAAAAUUACUUUGGCUUAAAGAUAAAAUAACCAAGUUGUGUAAAUCACAAAUACUAUCAUGAAUGGAUGCUGUUAGAUUGUUGCUCUGUAGAUCUAAUCCUUGAAGCUUCUGCAAAUGGUUGAGGGUAGGUGGAAUGUUACCGGACAACUCGUUAUUAUAUAAAGAAAGUGUAACGAGGUUGGUUAAAUUUCCAAUUUCUGCAGGGAUGAUACUUUAAUUUUACAAUUGUAGGCACCGAAUAUUUGGAGGGAGGUAGAUAAAUUCCCAACAGAAGCCGGGAUGAUUCCAUCUAGAGGAUUAUCAGCAAUUGCGAGCACAUUCAAGGAUCUGCAAUUUGUCAAGGAAGUUAUGAAGCUCAAUUCUGAAGAAGUUGAUUCGGUCCUUAGAUUGUUGCCGAAUAGGGAUAGACAUUCAAACAUUCUUAGGUUACCGAGAAAAUGAGGUACAAAACCAGUGAAAUUGUUACGACUGAGUUCGAGAAUUCUGAGUUUGGAACAGUUAGUGAUCGAAUCGGGUAUUACUCACGUGAAAUAGUUUCUAAAGAGAUAAAGUUCUUCAAGAGCGGGUAACCCGCGAUCCAAAUUAGUUGGAAGACUGGCCGACAAACGGUUAGUUAAAAGACUAAGAACUUGAAGGUUUGACAUGUUAAAGAGCUCCAACGGAAUAAAACCGGUGAAGUUGUUAAAGCCUAAUGAUAAUCUUUUCAGUUGGUAAAUUUUGCCAAUUUCUCGCGGUAAACCACCUGUUAAGAUAUUAAAAAAAAUUAGGCAUUGCAAAACUAUAGAGAAACUAAAUAUAUUGAAAGUCGUACCUAUUAAGCUGUUGAAUGAGAUGUCAAAGUAUUCGAGAUUUGUAAGAUUCCCGAUAUCUUUUGGGAGGCUUCCAGACAGUUGAUUGUGAUGUAGGUUUAAAAUUUGGAGAGAAGAAAUAUUGAAGAUACUGACUGGAAUUGUUCCACUAAUCCGGUUGCUUGCAAUGUCAAAUUGAGCCAGGUUCUGAAGAUUGCCAAUCUCGGAAGGGAUAACACCUACAUAUAUGGAACACACAAAUCAAUUGUUUUUACAAAAAUACGUAAUUUAAUCAAGAAACGGAAAAAUUAUAUCAACCUAGUUCACAAAGAAUGUGAAUUAUUAUACCAUUUAAGUUGUUACCCCCUAGAGCUAAAAUCUGAAGAAACUUUAAAUUGCCAAUUUCUCUUGGUAUCUUCCCACUAAAGGAGUUGUGAGACAGUCCGACAGUUUGAAGUUGUUAACAUUCGGAUAUAUUCGAUGGAAUUUCGCCACUCAGCUGAUUACGAGAUAGGUAAAUUUGUUGAACAAGUGGAAGUUUACUGCAAAAGUCACUUGGAAGGCUGCCACUCAAUUCAUUUCCUGUGAAAACCUCUGUUACACAGACACGGCAAACACAUGAAGUUUCCCCGUGUCGGAAACGUUUCGGACACGAAACGCGAAGACACCUUUAAGAAACGCUGUUGGGCCGUGUCUGUAAUAUUUGAAAAGUUGGACACGCGUGUCAAGGGAAAAAAAAAAGAAUUUUCUUUUUUACAAAUCUGAUUAUUUGGGUUUUUGUGAAACUGGAGGAAUAAAUUGGCAGCUCUCUCUCAUUAAUCCGAUAAUUAAUUGCAAAUUUAUUUGAAUAAACGAUUAAACGUAUUAAAUAUUCAUGUAUAUUUUAAUAUUGUACAUAAAAAAUAAAACAUAAUUUAGUAAUAAUUUAUAAAUAAACCCCUAUAUUUUUAAUAUUUACACGUAUCCCCCACGUUCCCGUGUCCUACUUUUUUUGAUUAAGUGUAUCCCGGUGUCCGUAUCCGUGUGUCGCCGUGUCCCCGUUCCCGUGUCUAUGUAACAUAGGUGAAAACUAUAGACUCCAGGGUUGAUAUGUUGAAUAGGGAUGAUGGUUUUUGACCGGAGAGACGAUUGUAAGCAAAACUAAGAAGCCGUAGAUUUGUCAGGUUAGAGAGGGAAGUGGGAAUGGAACCGGUAAAACUGUUAUUCCGUAGAGAUGGAUGCUCGAGUUUAGUUAAAAGACCCAACCACAGUGGAAUCUCUCCACUCAAGUUGUUUACUUUGAAAGAAAUAAACUUCAAUUUGUGCAGUAAAGACAACUGUAGAGGCAGAACACCACCGAAAAAGUUGAAACUAUAAUCGAGUGAAACGAGGAAGGAAAGGUUUCCUAGUUGUGGUGGAAUUGUGCCUGAAAGACCCAUGUAAGAAAUAUUUAACGCCUCUACUCGAUUAUGGUGCAAACCGCAAGUGACGCCAAUCCAGCUGCAGACAGAGCUCGAAUUUGUCCAACUUUUGGCAAGUGUGUUUUCAGGUUCCAAAAGUAUAUGAGAUUUCAGGGAAAGAAGGGCAGAUUAAUUGUUUGAUAAAAAUGUAUGACUAAAGAAUCAUGGAAGAAGGAUGUUGGGUAUCCGCCCGGAGAAACAAUCGGAAAUAAAACAGCCAUUAUAUUCACUAAAUUAAUAUGCAAAACAAUUAUGGGAAUAGGGGUACGGAAUACAAUCACACAGAAUAUUAACUACUGUUAAUAUUAUUUAACCUUAACAACAAAAACCAAGCAUAACAAUUAUAAUGACUUUAUCAAAUCAGGAUAAUUGCAAAAAAGGUAAGAAACAAAUAAAUAAUAUAAAACUAAAGAAAUAAAGGGGGAAAAACAAAACCACGGCGAAUCACACAGAUUCGUGGGAGGAUGAAUCUCUGCCGACGAUUGAGGUUUCCGGCUCAGUCUCAAUUCCCAUCCGUCCUCGUCCAAGACUCACCAGCCGCAGCCACGCACCCACCGGAACAAGCCCAAUAGCCCAAAUCCCUCUCAGAUUUCUAACCGGAAAAACCCGAAAAAAAACCCAAACACACAAAGGACCAAGAGUUCGAAUAAAUCAAACACACACAGCACUCAACCCAACACCCAAACACUCACAAAGAGUUGAGACUCACAAAGAGUCGAAUCAGUCACGAAGAAAAGAUUUACGAACAAGGUGUAACGUAGGUUGAAUUUUCUUGGUCUCUCUUGGUCACUGUUCUCUCACGAAGAAGAGGUCUAUUUAAUAGCCCCCAAGAACCGACUUCAACGGAAGCCGAGGGAUCGGGAUACUGGUGUCACAGAUUUCCGGCGGAGAAAUCGGACCAGAAAAGAGGACAAAAAAGCAGAGGGGCGAGAUCAGUUUUUCGGUGGAGAAAAUUAAUCGUUUGUUCACGUUUUGACCUCUUACUUGGGUCAAGACCUAUUUUCUCCACGUGGGCUUUUUCAAGUAUGGGCUUGCUCCAAGAUGGGCUGGUUACAUGCUGGUAUUGGGCCACAGAUGAAGAAAAAAUCAUUUGGGCCAAAAAAUCCCAAUAAAGGAAAAGAACUUUGUAUGAAUUACAUCUUAUCUUAUUAUUUAUUCUGCAGACAAGACAAUUACUUACCUGGCCGGCCGAGUUGUGGGGACUUGUUCGUAGACUUGAAUUUUAAAGUCAGUCUAAUUUGUGGAAAUUAUAUAGUGAUGUAUGCUUUUUGGCGUGGCAAAUAAACUACAAUAGUUGGAGAAAUUACAAUUUAACCCCAGAUUUAUGGUUUCUGUAAUUACAAAUUUGGACUCCUAGUUUUGUUUAUUGCUGAAUCAAGCGGGGUUAAUUUGAAAUAAUUUAAAAUCAGAUUUAGUUCCCACAAUGAUUCUGAAUACUGCAUUUCAGUCCCCAAUUUUAAAGUUUCUCUCAAAACUGUGAUAUACAUUCAGAAAAUUCCCUUUUAACCCCCAAAUUAAGUAUUUCUGAAUCUCAGGUCCGUUUUCAAUCAAAGACUUUUCUUUCAGAAAUUUCGAUCUAGUCCAUCAUGUUUUAAGAUUUUUUUUGGAUUUGGGUGCAGUGGUCUAUUUCUUCAAAGAACGAAGACUUGACUUUUUAAGCUUUUUGUAAAGAUUUUGUGGCAUUUAAAGUUUCAAUUGUUUUGAUGGACCCAACUGAAUUAUUUUUAGUUCACUUUAAAGUUUGUUUGAUUAAUAAAGUGAAAUUCAAUUUGGAUUUCCAAUUUGUUAUCUAGAAACCAUCAUCAUAUCGCAUUACAAAAACUUAUUCAAAUUGAAAUAUAUACUACCAAACAAACAAGUGCUUAACAUGCAUCCAGAAUUAUUCUUCCCUUCAUUAUUACACAGUUUAUUGUAGAUAAAUCCUUAAUUAACAUUGUAGAAGCUGUAUCAGGACAUAAUUAACAGCAUCAGUGGUACUUGGGGUUUCAGAUCGAACCUCGGCGGAAAUAUCGAACUUUGAUCUUCUGCAGCUCCGUUAGAGCUUCUUUCAUGUUUAUUCUAUCACCAGAAGAUUCCGCACAACACUUCAAAGCCAACUCCAGUAUUGAUGACGCGCAUUGCACGUUUUUCUCAAAGGCUUGUUCGUUUUCCGUAUUCAAUAUAUUGGCAUCUAUUACCUCACUUGAUGACUCGUUAUUAACUGAGCUUUGAACCCAACUCUUUAAAGUUAAAUCUCCGCCGAACAUUUCAUCGCUUGGCCUUUUUCUAGUAAAAGUUUCCAUCACCAUCACUCCAUAGCUAUAAACAUCACACCUUGUAGAAACUAGCCCUUCCAAACCAUACUCUAUAAACAACAAUCGUAUAAUUCAAUAAAUCAAAAGUGAAAUCCAAUCGAUAAUAUAUAAAAUUAGUAUGAGUGAAAGUGAGAAUAUUAAUUAACCUGGUGCAAUGUAACCCAUUGUUGCUAGGGUGAUGGUGUGCAUAGUGCUCUCACCUUCGCCCAUCAAUUUUGCUAUCCCGAAAUCACUCACAUGAGCAACCAUGUCUUCAUCUAACAACACAUUAAUUGGCUUCAAAUCGCAAUGAACAAUUCGUGUCGAAUAGCCAUGAUGGAGAUAUUCCAAGGCACAUGCAACAUCAAUCAUUAAAUUCAAUCUUUGCAAUAUAUCCAAGCAGUAGUUGUGGGAAUAUAGCCAUUGGUCGAGGUUUCCAUUCGGCAUGUAUUCAAGUACCAAUGCAUUGAAAUCCUCGUUUGAGCAACUGCUAAUGACUUUGAUGAGAUUUCUGUGACGGACGUUGCGUAGUAUCUCACAUUCGACAUCAAAGCUCUUCGAAGCAGUUUCCGAAAGUGAAUUGAACACCUUCACAGCUAAAAAUUUCCCAUCUUUUAGAACACCUUUGUAAACAGAACCGAACCCCCCACGGCCUAGUAAAUUCGUCUCGCUGAAGUGUUCGGUUGAUCGUAGGAGUUCAUAAUAGGAAAUUCUUUCUGGUACAGUAGACAAUAGCCCGUCAUUUCCAUUGGCUGCUUUAUCUUUUCUUCUAUAUCUAAUCAAGAUGACGAAUGCCAAAGAGACGAGCGAGAUGAAUGCAACAAUCCCGGAAAUAAUAAAUAAAGCAAAAUGUGCAAUUUUCAUCCUUGGCCCGUGAUUGGAAGCAUUACGACAAAGAGGUACAUUGAACCUUGGAACACCACACAAUGCCUCAUUGCCCUUAAAAGACUCCAUAGUGAGGUUUGUGAAAGGACCACCGUUGGGAAUUUCACCUCUCAAACCAUUGAAAGAGACAUUAAAGUAGACGAGAUAUUUAAGUGUCUCCAACGACUUUGGGAUCGAACCAGAGAGGUUAUUGUUAGACAAGUCUACAACUUCUAAACUUAUCAUGCUCCCCAUUGACUCGGGAAUAGAACCUUCCAAUCGAUUAUGUGCCAAAUACAAGUUCGUCAAAGAUAUUAAAUUUCCGACUGUGCUUGGAAUAGACUCUGACAACUGGUUCAUUGAUAGAUUGAUCCGGGUUGCUGACACUAAAUUACCUAUUUCUAGAGGUAUAAUUCCACUCAAAAAAUUUGAGGACAAGUCUAGGUGCAACAAAUCUGUGAGGCGCCACAUGCUUGAUGGGAUGCUUAAAUUUAACAUGUUGGAAUCUAGAUAGAGAUAUCUUAAAGAUGUGAUAUUUUCUAAACACUCCGGUAUUUGGCCGGAAAAUUUGUUACGGCUUAAAAAUAAACUAUCCAAGUUGUGUAAAUCACAAAGACCCUCUGGAAUGGAACCUCUCAUAUUGCUGUUACUUAAAUAUAAUCCUUGAAGCUUAUGCAAAUGGUUGACAGUAGGUGGAAUAUUACCGAACAACUCGUUCCCGUUUAAAGAAAAUUUCACUAGGUUGCUUAAAUUGCCGAUUUCUGGAGGGAUAAUACCCUUAAUUUGACAAUUGAAGGCCAUUAUUUCUUGCAAGGAGAUUGAUAAAUUCCCAAUGGAAGCCGGAAUGAUGCCAUCUAGAGGAUUAUUAGCAAUUCUGAGUGUAAUUAAUGAUCUGCAAUUUGCCAAGGAAGUUAUGAAGCUCAACUCUGAAGAAGUUGAUUCGGUUCUUAGAUUGUUGUUAUACAUGGAUAGAAAUUCAAGCAUUCUUAGGUUACCGAGAAAAUGAGGUACAAAACCAGUGAAGUUGUUAUCACCGAGUUCAAGAAUUCUGAGUUUGGAACAGUUAGUGAUCGAAUCAGGUAUUGAUCCACUGAGGUCAUUUUCUGCGAGGUAAAGUUCUUCAAGAGAGGGUAACCCGUGAUCCAAAUUAGUUGGAAGACUGCCUGACAGACUAUUAGCUAAAAGAUCAAGAAUUCGAAGAUUUGACAUGUUAAAGAGUUCCAAUGGGAUAAAACCAGUGAAGCUGUUAGUGUUUAAUUUUAAUGUAUUCAAUUGGUAAAUUUUCCCAAUUUCACGCGGUAAAACACCUGUCAAGAUUUAAAAAAAAAAAUUAAACAUUUGCCUAUUAAUAUCGAAAGUCAUCCGUUAUAAUUUUCUCGGUCGCACCUGUUAACUUGUUCUCUGUGAGUCCCAAGCGUUUGAGCUUUGUAAGAUUCCCGAUUUCUUUUGGGAGGUUUCCAGACAGUUGAUUGCGAUGUAGUCGUAAAAGUUGGAGAGAAGAAAUAUUGAAGAUACUGAGUGGAAUUGUGCCACUAAUUUGGUUUAGUUCAAUGGCUAAUUCAUCCAGGUUAUGAAGAUUGCCAAUCUCGGACGGGAUAACACCUAUAUAUGGAACACACAAAUCAACUGUUAAAAUCAUAAUGCUAGUUGAAAGAGAAUGUGAAGUAUUUUAUACCAUUUAAGUUGUUGCGCCCGAGAUGUAAAAUGCGAAGAAAUUUUAACUUGCCAAUUGCUUUUGGUAUCUGCCCACUAAAUGAGUUGUAAGACAGUGAUAUAUAUCGAAGUUGCGAACAUUCUGACAGACUUGACGGGAUUUCGCCACUCAAUUUAUUACGAGAUAGGUAAAUUCCUUGAACAAGUGGAAGUUUACUGCAAAAGUCACUUGGAAGGCUACCACUCAACUCAUUUCCUUUGAAAGAUAUACCCUCC
rnacentral:lncRNA from 1 species